GCACGUCGCCGCCGCCGAUGCACACGCGUCGUUGAUCCUGCGGUUUGACGGAGGGGAUAAGAGCAAGCCCCUGCACCCCCUCACUCUUCCCCUGUAACCCUAGCACGCCCGUUCCCCUCGCUCGUCUCUCUCCCCCUCGAGUUCGUCCGCGCCCAAAGACGCAAUCGCCGCCGCCCCAUCGUUACAAUGGCCACCGAGUUCCCCGCGGGCUGAAACCUUGCCAGGAGACGCGCCGGGCUCCUCUACUUCGACUACAGCCACCAGUUCGAGCCGGGGCGCCGUCAAUCGUCGGGAUCGAGCCUUCUUCCCCAUCGUCCACCGCAUGCCUCUCGCCGUCGUGCCGCCCCUCCGGUCCGCCCCCGACCUCCUCGAGCUCACCAUUAACUCCGGGACUACGAGACUAACGCCGCUACCCAGUACGACUACGGUGUUGACGACCCCUCUCUUUUGCCAGAGCAACCAGACGAUGGAGUCCAGGAGCCAGACGCCACCAUCGACGACGACUC